GAAUUAAAGAAACAUUUUCAGGAAACUAAGAGAGAAAGUAAGUUUCUCUCUGAUGAAGCUCUUAAAUUGAAGAAAAUUAAAAGGCCCUGGAAGAGACAUGUAAUGCCUUAAGAUCUGUGAAAGCAACAAAGGAAGCAAAAAUCAAACAGCUGAAGGAGAAAGCACAUAACCUGGAAGAAUUCUAUGAAGAAAAGUGGCUACAGAAGAGAAGCUGAAAAUGACAUACUGUGAACUGGUGGCAAAGAAGAAUCAGCUGACAGCUGAAGAUAAAAUUUGAACAUAGCUACGGAGAAAAUAAACAAGUACAAGUGAG